CCGACCAGGGAGGGGGCUGCCCCACAGCCGGGGCUCGGCGGCGGCAGCCGGCAGCGCAGCACCCACCGGCCUCGGGGGCGGCGCCGCGGGGACCGGAUCAUGGCCUUUUACAUCUGAGUUAAAAUCUUGCACCAGAAGGACAACUUUUUGUUUGGGUAUUCCACUUCCAGUGGCUUAAAGAGAAACAACAUGACAAGCAUUCUCCUAUGACAAAAACUACGACUGCUACCAAUCUGACCCUGUUUUCUUGCGUGUGAUCUCAGCUUUGAAAGUGUUGCACAGAGACUCAUCAAGGAAACACUGGAAAGACUUGUUCAUUGCUGUCAGUCGCUGAGUCCAUAAUGGCUGUGGUGCAAGCACGGGAUUGACAGAAACACCCAAGAGGCUUCAGCAAGAUUGCCAAACUGGCCAAAACUCAACAGAAAUCAGAAAAAAAAGAUGAAAGAAAAGAAGAGAGAGCUAACAGUGACUGAUGGGCUGCACACAUGGAUCCAUUUGGCACCUACUCAAACUCCUCACAGCCAUUGACUGUGCUCAUUACAUGCCAGAGUUGUGAAUUUGCCCCAGACCCUAUCAGCAAAGGUUUGAAUGUGUCCCAGCUUGGUUGAAAGAGCUUUUCUCCCCCAGAUUUCGGGUAAGCAGAUGAAUGAGAUGUCAGUACCAAUGCCAUACCUCAGUUUUAGCUCCAGAAUCAGAUUUCUCUGCCACAAAGCCAGGCUGUAAAUUUCCCUUUUAUUCCAAAUAAAGAUAAAUCUUUUCCCUAA